GGAGGUGGUGGUUAUUUAGAGAAGGAAGAUGGAAGGAAGUUGUGAUCUAAACCAUCGAUUUUGGAUGACUAAAUAUAGAUCUAGUUUUUGGGUGGUGGAGAUUAAUUCAAUUAAUAAUGGGUGACAUGUUAUUUUUAUGAUGAAGGAUAUUUUUGUCAAUAUGAAAGAAAAAUUGGUCAAUGACUUGGUUGACCGACUUCAAAUAAAAAAAUGGGGGGAAUCUCUAAUGAUUUUCAAAUCUGGGGUAUCUCAAAGAGUACAAACUUUUCUGGGGGUAUCUCUAAAUCUCCCCUCUUUCUAUCUACAAUCUUGAUCCUAUUCGUUUUAUAUUAGUAGAGAUCAAAAUUAAAUCUGAUAGUUUAUUGAUGCAAUAUAUUCUGAUUGUUUGUGCAUUUCUGUGUGUUUUACGUAAUAAAUAAUGGGGUUAUUUCUUUGCUGAGUUCCUAAGCCUCUUGGUACAAAUCUUCCUGAAAAUAGUUGUGGUCAGUUUACAAAAUGGUUGUUUAUUUGUUACAUUUCAUAAAUUUUUACUUUGCCAAAAAAAAAACAAAAAAACUUGUGAUCUAAAAAGCUGAGCUAAUAGAAAAAGGAAUUCCAUCAGUACUGGGGGUAAUCCAAAAUUAUGAUAGAUAAUAGAUUAAUGGUAAAAUUGAUAAAAAAUACAACGUAUUUUACGAUUUUUUUCCAUUAAUACAAUGUACAAAAAAACUGACCAAACAAUGCUUGUACUUUUAUUUUGUUUCUACGUUAUACAAUCUGUUAAAAUGAAGCUAACAGACUGUUUACAUGUACAAAAAUUUCUGACGUGGCUUUAUCUAAUUAAUGAAUAUGCUGAGGUGUAAAAAACAUAACAAAAGUUUAACUUCUCCUUCGUCUGCAGCUUCGAAACUUCAUCAGCAUCAAUGGUCUUUUGCAUAAUUUUAUUUAACUUCUUCAUCUCAAUCAAUGUAUUCUCAAGAUCUUCAAUUCUCAAAUUCAAAUGGCCAUUAACAACCUUCAAUUCUUCAUGGUUAUAGUACAAUUCUUGUUGACGUUGUUCAGGUCGUCUGUAGGAAUCAAUCCACUUGAAAAAACCACAAUUUGAUUGUCCAUUAGUGUAAUUACCGCACCCACAAAACGACCUCCCAACAUUUUCAGGAGUCCAAGCGAUCUUAGUUGGAGAAGGAACUCCAUAUUUGCAACUACGAAGAGAAUUAACACUAAAAGAAGAAGACAUGAAGCCUGAAUUUAGAUAUUAGGAAGGUAGGUUUUCUAAAACUUUGAUUUGGGGAUAAAUCAAUUUGAGAAGAAGAAGUGUUCAAUUGUUUAUAAACAGAGAAUCACGUGAUAAUCACGUGCAGUUUUUGAACUGCUGGAAAUUAUUAUCAACUUUUAUUUAAUUAGAUAAAACCACGUCAGGAAAUUUUGUACAGAUAAGCAGUCUGUUAGCUUCAUUUUAACAUAUUGUAUAACGUACAAACAAAAUGAAAGUACAAGCAUUGUUUGGUCUUUUUUGUACAUUGUAUUAAUGAGAAAAAGUUUGUACAUUGUAUUAAUGAGAAAAAAUGGUAAAGUACGUUGUAUUUUUUAUCAAUUUUACCUAGAUUAAUAGCCAACAUUAUUCCCAAGAAAUCAAAAUUAACAAACUAGUUUUCUACUUCACUUGUAGGUCAUCUAGUUUAGAGGAUCUAAAGCAAGAUUCAAUCACCUCAAAAGCUCUUUCAUCUGGAUCCUUGAAAUUCAAUAAUAUUGCUAUGUGGUGUAAUAUGCAGAUUUGAACUUAGCAAACUAUAGAGGGCUUUCAUCUUACUUCGCAACAUGUGUUUAGAUUUUUGAACCACGAACAGAGCUACAUACAUCCUUGCAAGUGUUAAAUGAAGACCAUGUUGGCUCAUGGUCCAUAAUUUAUAAACCUUUUGGAGAUCUAUUGGUUAAUCGAUGUGGGACUAUUUGGUCCAAAUCUCAGCUCAAGGAUAACACAACCAAACUGUGAGCUAUAAUACCAUUUGUUGGGGGCUUGGGGCCAUGGUCCGCCCCCCAUUUGCAGUAUAGAAAAACCAUGGUUCCUUUGAUCUCAAUUUACUGUGAAAAUGGUUGUUUGCUCAAACAAUGAUUCCAAGUGGAGUACAAGUAGUACUCCAUAAAAUUGCGGUAGAAUUUGGUUUGUUCAAUACUUUAAUGCGUGCAAGGUAAUAAAUGAAAAUAUCAAAUUAGUAUUGCCAAAAUAGGGUUGGAUCAUAUUGAGGGGAUCUGUAUUAUCUGUUGUUCAAGUUGAUCAGUCAUGGUGGAUUACAAAAUAAACUUGCCUAACUGAUAACAACAACUAGCAUGCAUGCACCAAUGCAAGGUUGCUUGAAAAUAAUCUUCUUAAGACGAGCAAUAAAAUCCUGAUCGAAGAACCAAAUGAUAAUGAACAAUAAUCUUCCUAAGUAAUUAAGCUUAAUUCAAUAAAAAGUGCUGGAAAAAAAAACAAUUAUUAAAAAGAUCCCUACGAUCAAAUUGACACUAUAAUUUUAUGAUUUGUGCUUCAUCUUUGCAACUUAUGAAUUUUAAAUUGAUUGUUAACAUUAGGGAAAUCAAAUUGACACCCGGUUUUUUACAAAAGUUAUUUAAUAUACUAAAAACACCCAUAAAAAAUUAUAUACUUUUUUUUUUUUUUUUGUUAAAUAAAAAUUAUGUACUAUUUUUUACUAAGAGCCACACACUUGACACUUGUUUAUAUUAAAAACUUAUUAAAUUUUUUGAUUUUUUUAUAUAUUUGUUUUUAAUAAAUUAUUUUCUCGUUUUUUUUUUUUUUUUUUUGUCUUCUUUAUUAACAAAAAUAAAACAAAAUCAUUAUCUUCUUGUUUACCAUAAUCUUAAAUUUAAGAUUUCAUUUGAUAUUAUUCUAUUUGUUAGGAUCAUAGUAAAUUUGCAAUGAAAUAAUUUAAUAUAGAUGAAGACCACUGUAUUAUUGAAUCUUAUUAAACGAUGAUUAUUUUAUAUAUACCAUUUCCAAUGCCAUUAUUUGAUGUGUGCAGAUUUGUUUAUCAAGAGGUGACCAGCGACCUACAAGCUGAUGAAUAGCACUGAUCGAAUAUAUUGAAGAGAGUCAUAGUAAGUUAAUUUGAAUGAAAUUUGAAUUGAAAGAAUGAGACAUAUAUGCUGUAUACUGAUCAGUCAUUCAGUGAUCACCCAUCCAUCACCAAGAGAUUAUGACUUAAAUUAUGUUUAUAAUUAAAAAUUCAUAAGAAUCAGAGGUUAAGAUUACUAUGUCAAAUGAAGAUAUCCCAACUAAUUGCUUUAUUACGACAUAACAGCCAAUUCAUAAAUCAUGCAUGGUUCAUAAUAAUAUGAUUAAGACUAUAUUAUGAUCCUUCUCCUCUCAUUCCCACCAUUGACCUCAUAUUCUUUCAUCCACUGCACCAGCUCGGCUGUCGGUAACAGCCACAUUCGAAUACAUACUAAUAUACUACUACUGUAUUAGUGUAAUUCGAAUCAUCGACACUAGGAUAUACAUACCAGUGGCUGCAAUUGUAAAAAAACAUUAGCAAACCGAAAAAAUUACUAGCUUUUUAAUUAGAAAAAAGACGUAAAUCUGUAAUGUGUAUGUGUUCGAAUUAUAUAUAAAGGUAGGUAAUCACAUUUUAUUAGUUGUUGGCUUUGUUUCAUGUUAAUGUCGAGGUGUAGUUUCAGCCUUUCAGGUUCACCAACGACCAUUGAAACUACAGUAUGUAUACAUAUUGACUCACUUCACUCCAUUGCAAGGCAUAUUUAUGUACCCCAAGUUGCGCCAAUUUGAUAAAGAAAAACACCAAAACAACUUCAGAAGUCAAUUUAUUCUUGUUAUUUUUUAAUAUCACAAUCCCACCUUCACUCCACUAUGUACUGUAGCAAAAAAAAUAAAGAAGAAAAAAAGGUGAACUAUGUAGGUUGAAUUAACCUUAGAUAUUCUUAAAACCAUCUUUGUUAUGAUCUACUUGUUUAAUUCAAAUUUGCCAUGUCAAUUUGCAAUUGUAUUAUCCAGAGUCCAGACUGGUCUAAUCGUGAAUAAUUCUGAAUAAUUAACAAAUAAUUUGAUUUUAUAAUCUAUGAUACAAACAAGAUUGUAGGGUAUACCAUGUUACAAUGCUAAUAAUUUGAUUAAUUAUACUCCUGAUAUUCCAAGAAAUAUCCAUAAAGCCUCAUACAUGAUUUUAAGGACACCCCUUAGUAAGUAGUAACACCUUAGCUUAUUAAUCACAUCCUUAAAUUUAAGUGGUGAUUGCUAGUGUUUAACAACAUUAUUAACCACAUACAUAAUAGAAACACAAGACCUAUAAAUUGAUCAUUAAACAGUACUACACAAGCAAACAUAGUAUUGGAUUCUGCAUUUAGGCCUACCAAGUACCAACUAGUUCUGAAUUCUGAUCAUUUACUGAGGUAUGAAAAAACAGUUAUGUAUGAUCAAAUGAUUAUUACAACUGAUAGUUUGAUUUGGUGAGUGGUGACACAUAUAUAUAUAUAUAUGCAGCCAUAUUAUAAGCAUGGCUUACCAUAUUAGGGUGAUUUUAAUGAGUAGCUUAGUUACCUUCAAGAGAAAGUAUCAAUCAAUAAACAAUUUACUUUCUUGUAAGCCACGCAUCACUAUCAUAACAACCAACAAAAGUUUUUUUGAUGUGGUUGGAGUUGAAGUUGAAGUUGGAUUAUUUCUAAAGAUAACCAACAUAGGCUUUUGGAUUAUUGCUAAAGAUAACCAACAUAGGCUUUCAUUUUACAUUGAGUUCAAAUAAUAAUUUAUAAUACAUGUUCUUUCCAUGCUACUCACUUUAAUAAUAACAUUGGAGAUCACAAUGAAAAUAUGAAAUAGCCUACAAUGAUCCCAGCUAAACAACUCCAAACUUUGCAGUUGUGUUGGUUUAGUAGUUGGCCUAUCUAUUUCAUCAAAAUCACCAAAACUCAAAACAUACCAAACCAUCACCAAAGUAGAUGAAAUAGAGACUACUCAACAGAGAAUUUGAGAUAGGGAAAGGACCAUCAAGGCUUUUAUAUCUUCUAUUUUUUUAUACAAAGUACUUCUGAGAUAUUCAUUUCUACUUCAAACAGCAAAAUGGAAGAAUACACAUUGAUCCCCAUGGAAAGAUCAGGCAAGAUCAUGAGAAGAUCGAUGCAUAUAUUCCUAAAAAGUUAUAACUACUUUACCUCCACAGCUGUGUUACUCGUGUUGCCUGUUGCUGUUUCAGUUCUCCUGUCGCAGGCUCUUAUACCAUCCAUGACGCCUUUCAUUGUAACAAUUCAUGCGCGUCUUGAGUCCCUUUUCAGGGCUGCUGGUUUCCCGUCAUCAUUGCAGUUUUUUUCCAUUCUCAGUAUCAAGAUUUCUCAAACUAUAUGUUCCUCUAUAUUCACUCUGCCUUUUACGCUUUCGUUCUUGCUUGUCGCCAAAGCAGCAAUUAUUCGAUUUCUCUGCAACGAGAAAUCACCUAUUUCACCUCCUUUCUCUUCUCUCUUCCCACUCUGCAAUCCCCUUCUCAACACUUACUUAUGUAAUACAUUCAUCAUCCUCUCUGCCAAUGCUUCUGCUUUCUUUCUUUUCUUCCUUGCUUUCAAUUCUCUCGAUGCCUUCGGUUUCUCCUGUAAUAACUACAUCCUCUUCCUCUCUGCAGCAGGAGCGGUUCUUUACUCGGUCAUCCUUGCCAACACCUUUAUAACCUGCAAUUUAGCCUUGAUUGUGGCAGGAAUGGAGAACUGUGGCGGAUAUCUUGCAAUUCUGAAAGCCUGUGUGCUCAUUAAAGGCAGAGCCGCAACUGCUCUCUCCUUAGCUCUCCCUGUCAAUUUUGGUUUGGCUGCUGUUGAAGCCUUAUUUCAAUACAGGGUGGUGAGGGCCUAUCAUCUAUCUGAAAAGCUCACAUUUUCUAUUGGGUUUGAGGGGUUGUUGCUGGCUUAUUUGUACUCCCUCCUCAUUAUCAUUGACACUAUCACCACCUGUAUAUUCUACAAGAGUUGUAAAUCAUCUACGCGAAUAGAUGAAGGCAGAUACUACAGGAUUGAGCUUGCAGAGGAACAAGACAUUGGAACAUUCACCAACUCAAAGAUUUCAUAUGAACUUCCAUGAAGAUCUCAAAAUGGCAGCAAGAGUGGUUGGCUCUACACAACCCCUUCCUCCCAAAAAGACGUCACAUUAUCUGAAUGCAGUUUUUAAGUUCGAUCUAGUUGGUUGAGGGAAAUUGCACAACUAUACAUGCCCAAAGGAACCAUGGAAUGGAUAGGUCAGCUCAAAGAGCUAAAAAUGAAAGAAGGCAACGAUCCAUAUUUUCUCUUACACAUUGUCAGAUUUAUAAUUUUUUCUGUAAAUUAAAAAGUUCGCCGAUAAUUUUCCAUACAACAAUCAAAAGCUAUGUUCUCAUCAACUCAUAAUAUGGUUGAUAGUAUUGUACUAAGCAUUGUGAAGACCAAAAUGCAUUACUCCCUUGGUUUGAUCGCGGAGCGAAAUAUCUGUUUUGUCAUCUUUAGCCUGCAACUAGUUGUCAGUACUUCUGAAGAAAUUUUAUUUUCAUAACUCUGAUGGGAAUGCGAGAAUUUAAUUUAUUCAGAAUUGAUAAGAAAAAAACUGUUAUGCAGAGUUUAGAUUCGUUUAAAUGAUAUUAAAAUCAAAUGUGUGAAUAAUUUUCAUUUCAUAGAAAAAUGGGAACAUGAGUUUUGGGCAAUACAUGGCAAAAGCUACCAGAACCAAGGCUCCAGGAGCAUCAUGGCUCAAUGAAUAAAAGGCAUGUUUUCCACUUAGGUCUCAGAUUCCAAUGUACAUAAGAGCCCUUCUGUCUUCUGGAUAAGGAAAGAGCAUCAACCCCAUUUAAUAUUCGAACAUGCGGAUUGGAGAUGGGUUGAGGUUUUCGAGAACUGAAUCCUUUUACCACAAGUGUGAGAAUACCAAAAUCCCUUACUCGUAAAAUUGAAGAACAUCCAUCUUCAUUAGGUUUUGUCAGUUAAAGCUUUCUGUUGUUGGAUUGGCUCAAUGACGAUGACGUCUGAGAUCUGAAGUCCCUUUCAUCAUUCCCAGGGUUGAACAGAAUGUUACUCCAGUUUGUUGGUCUGUGCAAGAUUCUUGAGGAAACCCUGUCACUAUCUUCACCCCCUGAUGCUUCAUAACCAUCACUAGUGGACCUAGAUAAAGGGAUUCCCCGCUGAUUACUAGAACCACAAAGAGUUGUGAGCCCUCUUGCUUCUUCUGCUCCAGAUGAGGAAACACGAAAGGGAUGAAGAUCAGGUGAUUCUAAACUGCUCUCAGGAGAAGAAGCGACAAUACUGGUAGCCACUGACAUUGCCCGGCUUGUGCGGAAAGCACUCCGGGCUUCAAGCUGCAGAGGAGCCAAACUAGUUGAUGUCUCAGCAACUAGAUCAUUGCGAUUGGCAGUUUUGGCUGAUAUCUUUGGAAGGGGUUCAAGGGGAAGCUCAGUGCGAGCCCGCUUAGUUUGCCGCCUGCGGUUUUCAUGCCUUUGGGCCAUCCGACCACUGCUACCAAAACUGCUGUCUGUUUCUACAAGUGCUUCACGUCGCACCACAGGUUGAAGAACUUUCGACUUCUUCCUUGCCUCUGCAGCAACUUUUGAGACUUCAUCUGCGUUCAAGCGUGCCAAUGUCCAUGGAUUUAUCUUCACAGUCCCAGGAUUUUUUUUCUUAAUAGGCUCAUCACCCGCCAUCCUUUUCCCUGAAGAAGAAAUACCAGUCUCGGGCGGAACCACGUCAAACUGGAAAAAGAUAGUAAAAGAAUGAGUUGCAAUGAACGUAUCCGUGAUACAAAUAAGCAAUAAUGGAAAAAGGUAUUUAUUGAGAUAUUCGAAAGGACUGUAACUUGCAAGUGAAAAUUAUCCUACAACAUACUACGAAAUAUAAAUUAGACUAAUCUGACUUGGGAAAGUGAAUUAAUGUGCCAAAUCAUUUGGGGCAAACAUGAAGUUAGCACAUGUCCAGAAAUCACCAAAAAGUGUUAAUAUUUAUGUGAGGCUUUGAGGAUCCCUGUACUAUAAGUGGGUGCACAUUCGAUGAUAUAAUUCACUGGCCAAUAACCAAUACAUAUAUAGAAGACAUUUUAGGUGUAUUCUGUUGGAGGUCAGGGGACCCAGUUUUCUAAUAGAUAAGCAAGAAAAUUGAAUUUCCCUACCUGAUCUUCAAGAAAGAGGCGUGGAGGGGUGCACCACGCACCACGAUGGAAAGUACUGAAAGAGCUUGCACUACUUAGCCCAGUAAGGGAACUCGCAGGUGACAUCUGAGGACUUUGCUGACCUCCAGCUAAUUGUUGUUCCUGCUCUCUUAGGGCUACAAUAUAAUCAUAUGUGCUGAUUCCCUGCAUGGUUAUACACGCACAACGAAAAUUCCCAUUAAUAUUGUCAACUACAUCAAGUGAGAAGAAAACAAGUCUAAAAGAGAUGAAGUUUCAUUUUAUUCUCCAUAUAUAAUGGGGAAGGUGGGGUGUAAAAAAUAAAAGAAUACACAUCCACUUUUUCUAAUGCACAAAAGCCCCAUCAACUAUCUACCUUAGUAUCAGAAUAUGAGUGAAAUGGCUAUAGAAAAUUACAAAACUUGCCUUUUGAAUGAGGAGAACAUGAAAGAAGAAAAGCUGAGCAAGUGGAAGGGUGGCAAUCAUGGCCAAUAUGGUGCAUGAGGCCUGUUUAAGAGCAAUAUUGACAUCUUGUUACCAAACCGAUUAACUUUCAAGUAAUAAAACUUUACAUUUAAUGAAGGACAUAUCUAUAUUACUUAGUAGAAAGUGAAAGGAAGAAGGAUAAAACCUAACCACAACGAUGACAAAGGGAACAAAAGAAAAACUGCUCCCCAGUUUGGUGGUGAUUUGCACAGAGAUUUGCUUUCGCUCCAAAAAACAGCAGAUCAUCACUAGGAUUCCGGUAGACCAUUGUACAAUAAGCUGCAAUCUCAAAGUCCAAUGUGCACACACGAAGAUACCUGUCAAUAUUUAACAAAAUGAAGAGAAACUUGAAAGAAACUGCUUACUCUUCAGCUGAGGUGAUCUUUGGGAUGUAGCAUCUGCCAUCAUUACUUUUGAAUUAUGUUCCAGAGAUGUUUACUUGGGAUCAUAAGGAAGAGAUGGGAUGGAUUUGAUAAGGAUGUAGCAGCGAAUAAUACUAAAAGGGGGCAUGGGGGUUUAUUCAGUUCAAGGGGACCACAAUAAGUUGCUUAUGAUUUGGCAUGGUAAAGAAAGGAAGCUGAGAUGGAUACACAACAUGAAGCCUUUUAAUAUUGAGAGUCUACCUAUAGGGGAUCAUGCUUACCAAAAGGAGCGAAGAGACCAUGAGGGUGAAAAACUGACGAUAGUUCCUUUUGCCUAUGCAAUUAUUAAGCCACUACAAAAACAAGAGAAAGAAAAAGAUUAGAAGUGUGGUUGAGUGACUAGCCGGCUUUCAAUAAAACUAUACUUUUCGUACCCUGCAAUGAUGAUCAAAACGGUCCACACACUUGUCACAAACUCUGCAGUGCUUGCUGUACUUGAAAACCUGCAAUAUAUAUACACAAAAUUAAGACAUGUCUGACAUGAAGUCAACAAACAUCAUCAGUAAUAUCAACCAGAUAAAAAACCAAUAUAUUCAUGAAAAUCAUGAUGUCCAUGACAAAGUAAAUGUGGUCUUUACUUCUAGAUUUUCAUCAUGUACGCUUGUAACAAAAAUCCCUUAAUGGGACAUACACACCCUAAGGUUUUACUUGACUCAUAUAUAUUUCCCCAAAAUAUGUUGUACCACUAGUUAGGAACGCUUGUCACAAGUUCAGUCAGUGGCCAAAUACCUAACACAUUUAUACGGUAAUAUUAGAAAGGCAUACGGAAAACACGACAGAUUCAACCUAGUCCUUGGAAAAAACUGCCCCAACUCAUAAUUGGAUUAACCAUUUGACUGAUAGAAACCACUCUCUGGUCAUUAUAAUCAAGUCAGAUCUCCUUAGAUGAGACCUAUUACAUACUCAAAAUAUCACGUAUUAGCAUUAAGUACCCUGUAGUCUACCAACUGAAGGUCCUCGAGUCUACCACACUUGUAAGUUGAAUAUUAUUAUAUAGAGCUUAAGGAGUUUUAAGAAUGAAAAUCUAGAGAGUAUAUAGCUGGUGCCCGGUGGCGUACCUCCACCUUGCACAAACUGCAAUAGAACAUGCCAUCUUCACUCGUAUGUUGCUCAGGGGUUUCUUCAUGAUGACUUGAGCAACUGCAGAAAAGGGCACCAGGACACCAGCCCAGCAAUACCAUGAAACAUGAUGGAUGGCUAGAAGUUACAGUCUUCUUUGCAAUUUCAGUGGAGUCUUCCCCAAUGGACUCCAUGCCAACCAUACCCUCAUCCAAGGACUUUUUACUAGCUUUGCUAGCAUUUGCAUCAUGUAUCGAAGAAGUUGAUCCAUCUCCUAGAUUGGAUUCUUUAAGCAUAACAUGCUUUCUAUAGUCCUCGAUGUUUAAAUACUUCUUGGACUUGAAGACUCCAGCAUCCGCAGGAUCAGCUGCUGCACACCAAACGUAGAGGCAGAAGACACACGUAAUCUGACAAGAAAGAAAACUUAUCACCACAAUUUUACGAUGAGAAUAAUAUUUCGAGUAAAUUAUAUGCAAUUAUGCAUCUUCACCGUGACUCAUUUAGGUUAGUGAAAUUUUCAGAUGAUUAAGCUCCAACAUUUUUUAUACAACAUAUGUGAUGCUUACAAAAACAUAUACUGAAAUAUAGUCACUUUUGUUUUGUUGAAAUAUCAUUAACACACAAAGUACAUGACGUAACAUCAAAGACAACACAAAUUUCUUGCAAGAUUAAAAACACUAAUACUGCAAGCCAAAAUUCAGUUCGUUGCAACCUUAUACUAACCAGGUGCUUAGUUUCAUCGCUCAAUGUCGUGAUUCCAUAUCAAACAUUAAUUUGGUUUUUCUUUUCCAACAGUUAAAUUACAUUCUACAUUUCAGCAAUUUUCCACUUCCUCCUCUUCCUAGGAGUAUUAAUAAAAUCCACAAUGGUUAUAAGUGACAUACAAAGGACCACCUCAAGUUGGCUGCAUCCUGUGUUUGUUACUUAUUCCACAUUCUAACAAUGUCUCAUCUGGAACCACUUCCCUCAUUUCUUUUCCAGUGCUUUCUGAAGUUCAGCUUCAGAAUUUUAGUAGAAUACUCUACAGAAACCCCAAAAGCCCCCUUAAGUUUGCACUAUUACUAGCCUAAUUGCUCUACAUCCAUGUUACACAUAUCCAAAUCCAGAAUAAUAGAUUACUUCUCAUUUAUAAAUUAAUCAAUUGCAAUCAUCCCAAACCAAUUGUUACUUCAAAUAAACAAAAAUCAGGUAUAAACUUGAAAAACGCAAACUCAAAAAAAUAGCAAUAAGCAAGUAGAACCUCAAACAGAAAUCUUAAAACAAAACAUUCAAAAUUUGAAGCUUGAAAAUGGGUAUCUUACAAGAGGAGUGUAGACCCCCAUCACAAUGUACUGAACAAUUUUCCUUCCAACAAAGGGGACAAAGAACACAUAAAAAGCAAACCCCAGUGCCAGAAACACAGCAACAGCAACCACCUACAAAUCAACAACAAAGAUGGAAAAAAAAAAUCAAAAAAUCCAUACACUUAAAUAAGAAAAGAAAAAAAUUGAACCUUUAAAUUUUAGAAAAUAUUACCUGAAGAGGAUGGUAAGGAAGUUGCCAUCCAUGUUUUCUCAUUUCUAGCUUCAAGUUGGUGUUUUCAAACAAAAUGCACAAAUGGGUAUAAACCCCAGAAGUGAAAAUUCUAACAAAAUCCCCAAAAUAACACUAAAAGUGGGGUUUCUUCUCUCCUUUCCCUCUCUUCUUUACUCUUUUCUCUCUUUUAAUAAGUAAUGGGGAUCACCCAAAGCUGCAAAUUCAUAAAGUAACAAUGAAUAGUUCCAACCAAGCUUGGAAGAAGAGAAAAAGAGAAGCAAAAAGGUGGAAGAGAAGAGAUGAUUGAUAAAUGGCAGAGAGAGAGAGAGAGAGAGAGAGAGAGAGAGAGAGAGUCAGUGGAGAAAGCUUCACUGGGUUCUUCAACCCAUACCAAGUCAAAGAAGAAGUGAGAUAAAAGAAAUGUGGGUGUGGGUUUAUGCUAGUUCAUGUGAGUCUUCAAGAUCUGUGUGUGUUGAGAGAGAGAGAGAGAGAGAGAGAGAGAGAGAGAGAGGUUAGUUUUUCUUUUUACAUGCAAAUUAUUACCCUUAAACAACAACUUUCUCUUUCUCUUGUUCCUUGUGCAAGCUUUUUCUAUGUCACAAGUCAGUAGAGGAGCAGAUGUUUUUGUAAUUUUGUUUCUGUGAACCAAAUUCAAUUCUUAUUAAAUGUGUCUGGUUGGUCAAAAGGUGUGAGAUAUUGUUUGUUUUAUGUAUUUUACUGGGAAAGUUGCCCAAGAAUAGGUUAUAUAUUUUACUCCAAUGUUUUUUUAUCAAAUCAAAUGAAACAAAUUGGGACCCUUGGACAAUCAACCCUACUCCUUUUAGUCCCUACACUAAUGGCAUCUCACUCGCUAUGUUCCUAUAUCGAGUCCUACCAAUUAUGGGUCCAUGCCAUGCUUUUUAUGAACAAAUGAAUUUCCUUUUAGAAGCACUAACAACUAUCAAACUCCAAGCACCUUUUGGAUUAGUAGACCUAUGAGCAAUAAUGAAAGGUGACAGAAACUUACUUUGUAUAAUUUGUUCUUCUUAAUCCAAUAACAAUUACUACAACAACUUCAUUAUGUAGAAAAAUCAAAUUACGUUCUAUAAAUUGGAAUAACAACAUUAUGAAGUAGUAGCUAUAAAUUGGAAAUGAAAUAAAUUCUGAGGAGGACUAAAUGAAGUACUGAGGGGUAGUUCAGAUAUGGACCAUGUCACUCACAUGAAGAGUGUAGUGAGUUAGUGACUGACUGAAGAGGAGAGUGACAGCUCAGAAGAAGAUAAGGUUUCAAGGGCAAGUGAGCUUGAGAGAAUUGAGAUUACUACCUACCAGGCUACCAUAGUCCAUAGGGUUUGUGACUUGUAAGAACGGGUGGGGUUAAUGUAAUGGUGUUUGGUUUGCUUGGUGUUGGCGUCUUAUUGUCAGUUGUUGGAAUUGCUGUUGGUGUUAGAAAAAGGCAAGUGGGUAUUACAAUCCCCUAUUGCCUAUCUUUGUAUUUUUCCACGUCUUUUGUUUUUGUGCUCUCUCUCUCUCUCUCUCUCUGUCAUUCCAAUCCCACCUCAGUUUUAAUGGUUAACGUAGCUAAAACUAUACACGUGUUUACCAUGCAUUCGCUAAUAACUUCCUUGUUGACCUAUUUCCGUCAAAAUAACUGGUCGAUGUAAGAAUGUCCACCCUUGCUUUUAGAGUAAAUUUUUUUGUGACUCAGAAACAUGUUGGAUAUGUAACAUAACAGAAAUACAUAUGAUUUUUUAACUAAGAAUAUGAUUAUCAUUUCAAAAUACAUUUUGUCAAGUAGCGAUAUAUGGAUGUGUCAUGCGUGUUUCAAGUCUAAGGAUGGGAUUUACUCACUCCAUCAAUAUUCAAUAGCAAUUGCAUGCUUCCGUUUUCAUCAAAAGCUUAAGGAGGUUGACAACUUACCUUGUUCCUAAGAUCCCUCACCACGUGAAACUUUGUGGCAAGAAACAUUUACAACAAAAAGGUAUGGGAUGCUAACUAUUGUGUAUUGGAUAGCCACAAUAUAUAAGUACAAAACCCUAAACCUAAACCCUAAAACCCAGCAAGGCUUCUCCGCUUCUCACAGGCUUCUCAAAGACAACAUAAAAGAAGGGAUUCAUUUCCAACAUGAAGGCUUCCUUUCACAAAAGUGUCAACAAGAUUAAAAGAAAAAUAUAACAGAAAUAAAUAGUGUGUGCUACAGAGUGAAAAUAAGCAGAUGACUCUGAUGCAACAUGCAACCUGCUCCAUGGAUGAUGUUAGUAUGUUACAGAACAGAAAAAAAAAAUGCAGUUAUUUGGAAUAGAACAACACUCAAACCCACUGGAAGGACUCAAGAUACAAAGGUCGUAUACAUAAUGAAAUCUACCUUACAAUAUGGUGUUACAUGAUGCACCAAGAAGUUGUGGGAAGAAAAUACCUCACAUUGUACACAAUUUUAUAGGAAGAUCUGAACCAUUAUAAGUUGACAAUCCAUCCAAAACUCUGGUACAAAUUCCGUUGAAUAAAUAUCCAAUCAUCAAAUGGAAUGCAGAGUUCGUUGUAAUUGGAAAAAUGAAAAAAGAAAUAUCUGUGCCAUAGUACUUGUGAUGCCAGCCACUCAAGUAACAUCAUACAGACUUCAACAUCUGGAAUUUCUUCAAGCUAAUUAGGACAAAGUGACUAUUUCACCCUAUAUCGACUUGAAACCAAAUCAAGCUCUAAAUUUAUUGUGCAAUAGCCUAUACAUUUGUUCUCUAUCUCAAGUGUGAAACUGUGAGACUAUCAGUCAUUAAAACCCAUCAAGUUUAAAGAGAAACAGCUAAAGGACUAAACUACCUAGUUGGCUAGUUAUACGAACAUCAGAGUCUGCUAUCAUUAUAGUAGUCCUUUUAAAUCAACUGUGGCAACUACAAAUGUUGAGAAGGUCUGAAGCACUAAAAGUGGAACAAAACUGAUGGCAAAUACAAAUACCAUGCAGUAAAGGUAAAUUAGAAAUCAUGCUAUCUACAACUUGCAAAGAAUGAAUGUAUGCUCUUUUACUAUAUCUGAAACAAAGAUAACAAUACAAGUAUAUAACUAAAAUAUGUUUACAUCUUAAAGGCUGGCAUUUGAAAACAGAAACUGGCUUUUGGCGCAUAACUGACGUCUUCAUGUAUACAUUUAUAAAGUUUAAACCCAUUGCAAUAGACUCCACUGUGUAAUGAACAUCCAUAAAAAAAGAUAGGAAUCAACAUUGAUUAAAUGUGCAAUCAACAUGCAAAAUCAACGGUACAUAAGUUCUAGUCAUUGGAUGCAACUAUACUACCCUGUAGAAAAAUGCGAGCGAUUGAGAUUAACUUGUAUACUACAUAAAGGGAUAUUAAAUGAAAGAUCCCAACAGACUUGCACUUGAACUCAUGGAUCAUGAUGUGGGUAAAAUCCAUAAGCUAAGGCACUUAAAAUGCCUUUUCCUCAUUGUAAAAAUUAAAAAAUUAGCAUACCUCUUCACUUUUUUGACGAGGUAAAGACCUAUAGCAAUGAUUGUUUGAGAAAAACAAGGUAGUAGAAAAGGUGUCUAUAGGAGAAUUACAUCAUCCAGGCACUACCAGUGGAAGGAAGAACACAAGGCACCAAACUGGAAAUGUAUCUGCUUACAAGUAUGCCAAUUUUGUUAGACGUGUCUCAAAUAUAUAAAUAAAAAACAAAAAACGAUCAUAUGCUAUAGUAGAGCAUCUUGCAAUUAUCUAUAGUUUAACUUGAUACAGACGAGAAACUUACAACCAAGAUGGAGGCUAGAGAACAACAAAAAAUUUCUCACCAAUUUCUGUAUUGCUCAUUAUCAAAAAAUUGUGCUAUACUAUUAAUUGAUACAUGUACAAAGAGACUUGCUUCCUUUUUUUCUGUCUCUCAGAUAUUUUACAAUAGCUUCUCUAUAUUCCCUGUCAAAAAUCUAAACAAAAAAAAAUUUAAAGAAAAACCACCUGUAUUUUACAUGAAAAAAUGGAAUGUGAGAGGGUUAGAACUUUAUACACUGAGUGAUGAUACAAUCCUAACUUGUUCUGUACAGUCGAUGGGCAUCCACGAUGGUUCUCAAAAAUACCUACCAAAAGAGGUGAAAAAAGUCACGUUAACUUGCAAUGUAUUCUGAUACUUGUAACUGAAAACUAUAUGUAAUUAACCUCACUCAGAAGAAUACGAAAACACAUCAACCUAUUGGGAUGACAGUUUUUUCCCCCUGACCAUAGGGUAUUUAAUCUUUCUGAGAUAGGUUGGUCAUUAUUAUGCAAUUCAAGGUGGGAAGCUGUUCCUCUUAGGAGGGAAUUCUGUUGUGCUCACCCCAUCCUGUUAGGAUACAUCAUAAAUUCAUAAUAUAUUUUCUGGAUUCAUGUUCAACAAACAUCCCUCAGAUAUUAUAAAAAAUCAUUGUAGAAAGUUUACCAUCGGGGAUCUGCUGGCAAAAUAUAGGGCUUCAUGUUGACCUCUUAAGCAAUCUUCGCGGUCUUCAGCCCCAGGCAAAGCCCUGGUCACUGUCGUGCAGUGGAAGUAUGGCUUCUCGUGUAAGGGUGUGAAGCAAAAAUUAUGUUAUGCUAUUUCUCAUUUUUCUUUGUUAAGUUAACACCCUUAGCCUUCUCCAUUUCAGCCUCUUUCUGGGCUUUCUUCUUCUCCAACUCAGCCUGCUUGCAGUUCUCCUCAUGUGCUUUUCGGAACAUCCUCACAAAAUUAAGUAAAGUUGCGGUAACUGCAAUUUCCAGAACAAUAAAAGAAGUUUUUGCAUCAUCAUCACAUACAUAAUAACAAGAAGGAAAACUAUUUUAAUUGCAGAAAACCAGAUCUUGAGAAUGAUGUAGAACAUAGAUAGACCCAAAUGAAAUGAUAAGCAAUAUCAAGCAAGACUUUAUUUCUUCCGUAAGUGUUCUAAUGGAACAAUAUAUGUACAAGACUUAAAAUCUGAAGGGUGAACAGAUGCAAAAUAUUCAAUAGAUGUCUAUGGAUACACAAGUAAAACGGUUUUUAAAAUAUACCUAUAAUUGAUCAAUAGAUGUCUAUGUUAACUUUUCAUUUAAAAAGUGGUUUUCAUGUUUGAUCCAGGUCGGCAUGUUGAUUUUUUUUUUUGUCUUUAUUCUAAUUUCACCUUUUUUUUUUUUACGAUGAACAAGCACUAUUAAGUCAAAUUAUAGAGAAUAAGACAACGUAAGUGUAAGACAAGGCAGCCUAACAUAAGAAAAAAGAAAAAGAAAACCAAUAAACAUUAACAGUGAGAUACCAACCCCUGCAUAACAAAGAUUCCCAGUGCAAUCAUCGCGAACCAAGUGCCCUUCUAGAUCCCUAUAUUCCAUUCAAUUCUUUUUCAUGUUGGAAUUGAUCCCUUUUUUUUUUUCCCUUUCUGGGCAUGCCAAAACCAUCUAAAGUGCAUUAUGCUACACAUGUGCCUACUAAUAUCCUCUCUGAAAAUUGUGGUUACCUACUAGUCCGAGUCGGAUAUGACAUUGGACAUCUUUGAUGUAGUAUAAUUGUAAAGUGCAUUAUGCUACACAUGUGCCUGUCGUCCUCCUCUGUAGCACCCUAUAUCCCCUUAAAAAUAUAUAAUUCCACCUCUACUGGAUCAGGCGUUUGGGAUUAGGUGGUAAUUGACAUACAACACAACUAGCUGCUUACGCAAUAUGGACUACUAAUUUCAUGGAAAUACUUUAUCCAAAUAUAAACAGCAUAGAUAUAUACGUUAUACUUUUGAGGGACCAUAUCUUUUCUAGAAAACCUCAGAAUCUUAUGAUCAUAAGAAUCUUUUAAGGUAAACAACAAGAACUCUAUUCAUAUCACUUAACUUAUUAACUUUUGGCAUUUAUAGUUUGUUGCCAAUUAGGCUAUUAGCUCUUCUCUUUACUUUAUCGAAUUCCUUCUAAGCUAUCCACAUAAGGGGGAGUAUUAGGAAGAUAAGGUCUACACUGUUUUAUCACUACAUUAUAAGUUAGUCCUGUAUUUGGUCAAGUACGGUCGAGUCCUUUAGUCUUUAGUUAUAUAAGAGGACUUAUCUCUAUGUGUUUUAUAUGUAUACAAUUACCUUGUUCAAAACAUAUAAAUAAAUAACUAAAUCAUGUGUUUUAUAUGUAUACACUUACCUUGUUCAAAUGGGCAACGAGCAGGGUCUUCCCCAAAAUACAGGGCAAGUGCAUCUGCAUUUCUACCCUGUCAAGAGCCAACAUCACAAAAGUGAAACAUCAAAAAGACUACAAAAAUCACAGCAAGUCAUACCAAGGAAAUAGUUAAAUGUCCAGUGGCAUACCACUCCAGCAUACAAUGACGUUAAGGAUGUUACUUCUCUUUCCGCAAAACCAAUAAAUUCCUUCAAUGUCUACAACAAGUUAAAUCAAACAUCAACAACCACCACCACCUUAGAAAAAAUAAUCUACCAUUAACUUAACUGUCAAUACCUUAAACUAACAUAAUCCAAAAGAUUUCAUAGGUUAUGAAAAUUCGUUUUCAAAUUUUCAUCAUUUAUAUUCUGAGGUCAUAAACUCAAUAAAUCCUAGUCAUCAGAAAUUUGCCAAAUAUCAGUACAAUAUGUUGAUGGGCUCGCAAAAUGGAAAUGGGAGACACUAAAAAUAAGAAAAUAACACCAAACUGUUAUACCUGAGCUAAUCAAAGAUACAAAGACCAGACUUGAACUGGCAGUUUAACUUUUAACCAAUGCAGAGAUAAGUAAAGACACUGACAAGUCAGACUAGGACAACUACUCAGAGUAAUAUUUAUUUUACUCAAAUCACACCCCCCCCCCCCCCAACCCCCCACGGCAGUUGGAAGUUACUGAGUCUGUAAUUCGAAGUUCUUAUUUUGACGACGUUUGUUUUAUUAAUGUGUAACAAAUAAAAACAAGCAUAAACAAAGGAAGAGGAUAAAUAAAGUUAUAAUGAUGGGAAGCAAUCUUGAUUUCAGUCAGAAAAUCAAUGUAUCAAAUUUCAUUACAUAGCUGUUUGUUUCCAACAUUACACACACAUACGCGAUGUGAACAGUGACACGAAAUAGCGUAACAAGUCUGCCUACACCCCACGUAAGGAUACAGUGGAAGUAAGGUAUCCUGUAACGAUGCGACCAAUCUCAGAACUGUAGUACCACUACUCCUUACAUUAUAACUUAUCACCAACUCUUACGAGCGUCAAACUUUAACCACAAUACUGGCACCAGAGAAUCACUGAACACAGAAAGAACCUUGGACACACUUCCUCAAGUACAGUGCCAAGUCAAAAUACACAACUACAGCCAAUAGUAUUAUACGUAUCUGGACAAACAUACAACUGUGUCCAAUAUUCCUACUAAACCCUGUUAUCAUGCGGUGGAAUUCGGAGAAGAUAUGGUACUGCCAUUAUGCCAAUAGGGCUCGGGGCUCUCACAUUGUAUCUGCAAGUCUAGACUGCUUCUCAAUACUAAAUAUGGUUAUAUGCUCUGUGAGAACAUCAAAUGAUUCAAAACCAAACUAUAGCAUAGUAGGUAAACAUCAAGCAUCAUUAAUGAUUGUGCAUGCGGCUGAGGUUUCUCCGAACUCAUUAAAGAAAAUGAAAUAGGCCUGUAGGUGGAUUUAAGCAAAAACCAGUGUUUUAUGCCAAUUAAAUUGUAGAACGACUAUUUAUGCAUAGAGGACUUAGACGCAAUUUACUUUUAAGCAAUGUGGGACUAAUGACAAAACUCACUUAGACGACAAUAAACCUAAACCAAUUAGGACAAUUACUUAAACAUAAAUAUUAUGCAUAUUAGCCAGUAAUAAAUUUUAGAUUGACAAAUGAAAGGACCAAGCUUGAUAAAGUACAACAGAAAUGCAAAUGCGGAAGUGAAUGACUAACUCCUAAAGAAAAUAACAAAGCAGAAGUUGAUUUUAUAUGGAUUUUUCAUAGCACAAAUGAAUCUGACGAGGACGGGGACUCAACUUCCAAAAGCAUAUAUGAAGAUAUAGAUAAUUUGAUUUGCUUGUUCAUGCACCAUAUGUUUGUGAUAAACUAUAAAAUGAAUUUCUUGAUGAGAAAGAAACACUAUAAAAUGGAGUCUCAGACUUUCAGUAGGACUAGAGUUGGGUCGGAUAUGGCUAGAUCUCUAUUUUUCCAUCUAAAUCCAGAUACCCAUUCUGAAUACGAGUCGGGUCUGGGUACAGGAUCCAAUUUGGAUUAUAAUAAUCACGCUAAAAAAGUACAUAUAUUCUUAUAAAGAGAGACAGCAAGGAGUGGGAGUAGGAACAGAGGCUUAAAUAUAACAUCACUAUUUAUGGGUACAAUGCAGAUUUAAUCAACAAUACUAAUUCAUACUAGUGGUAAAAAAUCUAAAAUUAAUAUAAUUUUUUCACAUGAGAUAUACCUAAUCAGAAAGUUCAUUUGUUUUUUUUUUAUAAUUACAAAGUCCAAGAAAAGACCUCACAGUACCUUGCGGAAAACUUCUGACACAGGCCCAUCAUUUUCAGAGGCAGCCAGCUCCUGCUUAACCUUUUGUAACCCUUUAGUAAUAGCUUGCAUUUCCUCUGCUAAUGACUUCAAUUGUAUCUAGACAUGCAGCAAAUACUCACGAUAAUAUAAGAUGAUCACAAUACAUGAGAUCAAUGAUGACAAAGGGAAAAGGAAUAAUAACCUUUGUUGCAGCCUCAAGGCUCACAAGGUCCUCAUGAAAAGUUAAAAGUGCAGGUGACUUAGAGGCAAGUACCUGAAACUCAAAUUAGAACACCCACGACUCAAAUUAGAUGAUUAUUUCAAAGAAGAGAAUUAUAGAUGCAAAGUUGUUAUAUGUGUGAAAGCAAAAAGGAAAAGUAAAUUCUUAAACAGAGCAAAUACUCAGAAAAAAAUCAAGGUUGGUAACAGACUAGACAAUUUAAGGUGAUAUAUAUAUACAGACAGGGUUAUUUUGAGAAACUCACUUGAUGGUAAACCUUUUUGUUAUUUUUUUCACGUAAAUAAGAGUUCUUUACCAGGUCUAUUUAAACCCAGCAAAAACCCGGUUUCCUUCUUCCGGGGUUCCAUCUAUCACUCUCUCUCUCACACACACACAAUAAAAACACCAUCUUCUUCUCCAUCUCUCUAUUCACAACUGUACUCCCUCUCAAUUUCAUGGAAUAGACCUCAAUAAUUGGAUGGGGAUGUUAGAUCGGCAAAUUGUAGUGCAACUAAAACAUAGAUUGAAAGGUUCUUCAAUGGGGAGAGGAGUGUUAUGAGAUCCAAUUUAUAGCACUGAAAAUUUGUGUUUAUCAGAAAGCAAAAACUCUAAUUUGGGGUUUAAUCUCUUGAACUGAAUUGAGGUCUGUUAAUAGAAAUUACAUGGCAUUCAUUGUGAGUUCUCUUUGUAAGCUUAAGUGUAAAUAUUGAUUUUGUAAUUCAUAUGCUUUGUUAAAAUGUGGUAGAAAGAUUUUAGUUUUCUCUCUCAUGAUAUAGUUUCAAUUCAAUCUGUUCCAAUUGAUUUACUAAAAUUGAUAGAUAGAUAUGGUAAGGAAGCAGAAUUGAGGAAGAACAUAUGUUUUAGUCGACUGCACUCAAUUAAUAUAUGCCAAUCUAACAACAUCCCCACUCAAUUAUUUUGCAAUAGGGUUUCAAAAAUUCAUCACUCUUCCACGAUUGGGUCUAUUCAAUUGUGUAAGGAAGAAAAGGGAAUCCUUUCUGCACAUAGAUACAAGGAUGGGAAUCUGUGAUAGAAAGAUCAAUUUAUCGGUUUCGAAUUAUCAGCUCUUCACCAUUUAUUAAAAUUUUCGAAAUUGAAAAAUUAAGAAUCAAUAUAUUCUGUGAUGAACAAACUUAUUGAGCUUGAUUAAUGGAGUUAUUUCCUGGGAAAUCGUCUUGUGUUAAUGGUUGAAGAGGGAGAGACAGAGAACAUAUUGAGAAAGAUAAGAGAGAAUGAGAAAAGAGAACGAUGGAUGGUGAGAAUGAGAGAGGGGAGAGAGGCCACUGAACCGAACAACUGUCCACUGGGUCCAAAGGGUUACAACUCUGAACGAAAACAAUUAAUAAACAAAAUAUAACACCCUUGACACUAAAAGCCUUGUUAGAAUGCAGAUAUUUGAUGGUUAGUCAUACCUUGCAAAGAAAAUGCAUGAGCGUCAUUUUAUUGUUAGAAGCACGUGUAUCAGACAGUUUUAGAAGGCUAUCCAGUCGGAAUCCAAUAGCAGAACCUGCACAUAUGAAAAACUAUUGAGUACAUUGUCAAAGAAGGAAUUGAAAUGACUUCUUCAUAACAUCCAGCAAUUGCUACAUAAAUUUCACCAAUGACAACAGGAUUUUAACCAAAUUCACCAUCCUUACAAUUUAAGAGAUAUACAACAUCAGAGAGAGAGAGAGAGAGAAGGAUGUUAGCAGAUAUUAGCAGAUCCUGGGAUCACUACUUAACUUGAAUUUCCAGACAUCUGAAACAAAAGAUAUACCAAAACCCAUAGUUGUGCACUUUUGCCUCAAAUUGACAUUUAUUUUGGGGUUAAUUGGUUAACCAUCGAAAGUCGAAACAUCAUGACUUUGUUGAAAUAAUCAGAAAACUAUAAUUCAGCAAAAACUGUAUUGAACUUUGGCAAGACGAUUAUAUACAGGAACUUUUGCCAUGGCCCAACAAGGAAGGGGUGGGGUGCCUAAACCAGUCUGCAUUACUUACAUUGAUUCAAAAAUAAAGUGGGUUAGUCACUGAACUUCAAUGUUUCGAAAGUUUUUGUAGAUAGAUUUUUCAAUCCAAUCAAGCAAUUUUGACUUUGAGAUUCUGAUCCUAAAAUGUCAACCCAGCCUGCAUCACUUGAUUGUUUCAGGAUAAAGUGGGUAAGGUUAGGAAAGCUUGUGCUUUGGAUUAAACACACAUCUGAUAAUCAAAAUGCUCAAGCCUUCCACUUUUUUUUUUCUUUGAGCAUUCUUCACCAUACACUUUUAUAGAGAAAAAUUGUGGUGUAAUGCAUACUGAAAAAUUGAUGAAAUUAAUUGUCUACCAACAGGAAUUGACUAAUGAGUAAUGAGGGGAAUAUUCAAGAGUGGUCCCUUUUGUACCAAUGGAUGCUCUUUCAUGAUGGAAUAAAAUCGAUGAUCACAUAUUAACCAAAUCAAAAUGGUGAAAAGGGCAUCCAGGUGAAGGAAGAUUCUUCUGAAAAGGGCAUCCAGGUAAAGCUGAACAAAGGAACAACGAUUCAAUACUAGAGGAGAAAGGCGCAGUAAGCGAUAAAAGAAUGAAAAAACACUCGUUAAGGUGAGGCUGGGAUGGAGUUAACAUAAGGUUGUACUGUUAUACUUGGUGCUGGAACAAAUAUUUUAUAGAAUAACUACAUCAUGAAAAGAUAUUCAGUUGACAGCAAUAAGUAUUCGACACAGGCGCCUUAAUCGAGAAUAGACAGCUUUCGGUAAUGACAAAGUUAGACGUCCCUAGGAUAAAACUUGUAUAUGAGUUACCUAAGUUAGUCAAAAGAGAGAAACUUUUGAUCUUCCAUAACUUGUAAAAUAAUAAAUGGAUGUGAUAAAUUAAAAAUCCGAAUUCACUUGCCUCUUGCCGUUCCUUGGUUCAAUGUGUUUCCCAAAAAAAGAAUGCGUUUCAUGAUUUCCUUCACUUUUAUGGAAUUUCGAACCUGAUUGCAGUCGUAAUAAAUUAGGAUAUAAUAAUAUAAUGGAUAAAAGAACUACAUGAAGAUUGUACAAACAACGAGAAAAAUACCUCAUCAGAAGCAGAGUUUACUGUGUUUAAGCUCUUCCUAAAAUCUACAACCUGCAAAAUAGAUUAAUGAGUGUCAAACAAGAGAUCAAUCUUAAGACAAGGUAUGUUGACUUUUUCAAUAUAAUCAGAAAAUAAUCAAAAUAGCAUCUAACCUGAGCGCCAAACUGAAUCUUGAAAGAAAAUACUCUCAGUUUAGACUCCACCCUGGGAACUUUCAUCAGCUCCAUAAAAAACUGCAAGUUUAAGAAAAAAAAAAUUGCAUCCAUCUGUUAAGACCUUAUUGUAUGAUAAAGAGAAAGACAAAACUGUUUCCACUGUUUCAUCUUUUCUAGACAUCGAGUCAUCGAGACUAUAUGUCACCACAUUAAAAGUUAAAACAAAUUAGUGUUAAAUUCAAAGUAACAAGUGAACAGUAAUUCAUAAAUUUGUGUUCAGGUUUCUUGUAUCUGCAUUUUUAUACUACAAAUAUUGCAAUGAGAUGGAAUUGAACUUUACACACCUGCUCGCAUUUUCCUAGGUUUUCCUUGUCACCAGUGUAGUUCUGACCAACAUAACAGAGAGAUAUUUCACACAUGGAAUAUUAGAUAAGAUUGUUCCAAUUGCAUCUGAGUGAAAGAGAUCUAAAACUGCAUUUGCUAUUAAAAGAGGUACAAGGCAAUCAUGAGAGUAUAUUAAUAAACCUUUAGAAGUUCCAUCUCCUCUUUCGUGGGACAAAACUUUAUAAGAUUUUCCACCGUAUCAACAUCUAAGACUGAUUCAUCCAAUGCUAGUGCUGCUGCCUGUAAAGACGCACCAUGGUCAGCCACAAAACAUGCUUUCAGAUAUUAACUUGCAGUGAAUGCAGUGUUGACUUGGGGCAUGGAGAAAACUUCCAAACCUUUGAAAGUGAUCUGUAAGGAGUUUAAUACUAAAGCAUCCAUGAUCCAACAUGGUCGACUGACAGCGGUUAUAACAACAAGAUGCAAGUUUCUAUACCACAUAAUGUAAGUUUCCUAAAAAACUGGUAAGCCUAGGCACUAGUUCCUAAUGUUCAAUCAAGUAUCGUAAGAAGAUGAGCAUUUUCUUAAUCAGAAAAAACUGAUGAUAUCAACAAAACAAUGUAAGGGGAACAAACGUUUCUUUUGAGUUUUGGGUCAUCUUUGAGGUCAAUAAAAAGUUAUCCUUUAGCAAACAGACUCCUUGUGUUUCUUUUGUGUUCAAGUCGACAUAUAAAACUGGAAUGAUAGAGAUAGAGCGAAUAAUAGAUGAAAUGUGUCUUUCCAAAUUAUCCUCUCCAACAUUCCCAAUAGAAGUCUUGGAUCAGUUUCUUAACUAUUAUUAACAUGCUUAUAGGCUUUCCUAUAGAAAUAGGUAAUAAAGAAGGCCACAAAUUAAGAAGAUCCUAAGGAAACUCAUUCUUUUUUGCAAACAUGAAUUAAGCUGAGUUUGCUUACCAUCAUAUCAGAGAGUGGCAUCUUAACUUUUGUAAGCAUGAUCUCACAGUUAUUAGCCCGCCUCAGGUCAACCUACAGUAUGUAAUGUGCACACUUGUUAGCUACAGUUUAAAACAAUAAUCAAAUGGCAGAGAAAGCAUAAAAAAGGAAACUGCAUAUAGAUUGUCUUGUAAUGAAUUUAUAUGUAUUUUUUUUCCUGUGGAACUAAAAAAAAAUAACAAUAGCAUAACAAUGCAACAUAUUUCUAAGUUUUAUUUGAUGAAAAGGGGUAGAGGACCCCUGUAUAUAUUCUUAAGAGAUCCAUCAGCAUCUCAUAUAAUUCUCUACAACAGGUUCGACUUGAAGUGGGGAACAAUAUACCGACUAAAAAGAUGACUAUCUAAAAUCAACAUCGUUUACAUUGGCGCAAAACUACAUUGGCGUUUCAGUAUAAUGCUUCUUUAAGAAUUGAUCAUAAGUCAUAACUUUGAUCAUAAUCAGAACAAAUGUGAGUUUUUUUUGACAAACAGAAUUUUAUUGAUAACUGUAAGGAGUUACAGCCCUGAACAAACUAAUAUGAGUUAUUAAGCACUUCCAUAUCAACGUCCUCCAUUAGGGACAAAAACUCAUUACAAUCAAAAUGUAAUAAAGAUAAUACCAGAUACCAUGUUUCAAUGUUUAUAGGCUAUCUCAUGAUCCUCUUGCAACCAAUUCCUAACCCAGCCACCUGGUUCCUAUCCUAUGCACUCUUGUCAGUGGCCAACAUCAUGUGAAGAAUUUCCCUCCCAAACUAAAUGCACAUUGGUCUAUAUACAAAUUAAUCUAGGUAGCGCGUCUUUAAAAUCAAUAAUGAAGUACAGUGAGCAUAUACUAUGGAGCCACCAAAAGAGAUAUAGUACUACAAUAAAUGUCCACUGCAUCAUUAAUUUGUAUUGUUUACCAGGUGAACUUUUUCUGUUUUGGAUCCAACAGACUUGCGCCGUGAUUUAUCUCCUGACUUAUCAACAGGUUUUGGGACUGCGGUAGAGAACAAACUCUCAAGUUCUGAAACAUCAAACUCUGACGCUCUAGCAAUCAAGAGAUAAACAUCAUCAAUGAACUUAGAGUAGCACAAAAUAGUAAAAUGAACCAACAAUAAUGAUGAACACAAUCCAGCAACUAUAUAUUGAAUUUUAGAAAAACAAAACAUACGUAAAAAAAGGUAAGGCAUCCACCAUGGGAUACAAAUUUCAAAAUUGAAAAUCAUGCUUCUUGGAGUCUGACGGUGAUGAACAAGGCAAUGAACAGUAUGAUAUGAAAAAAGUACAGUAAUAAAUUAUAAAAACUAUACCCUUGUGGUUCGCCAAAUCUUUGUAAUUCUUCCCACAAACUUCCCUGCACUGCCCUCGUAACCUUUAUCCAGUGCAAUGGCUUUAGUGAUGACCUUCGAGGUGCUGAGGCGGAGCCUUGAUAACCAGAUCCAGUAGGACGUGGAAGCCCACGCCCUCCUCCAGGUGGCAAACCUCUUGGAUUCGCUCCUUUAGCGCCGAAGGGUGGAGGCGGAGGAGCUGGACCACCUGGAGGUCUUGGUGGACCAGGAGGACCAGGUGCACGAGCUCCUGGAGGAGGUGGAGGAGGUAUACCGCGUCCAGGGGGAGGUGGUGGUGAUGGACCUCCACGCAUAGGUGGUGGGGGUGGGGGUGGACCUCCAUGCAUAGGAGGUGAUGGUGGAGGUGGUGGACCUCCAUGCAUAGGUGGUGGUGGUGGAGGUGGUGGACCUCCAUGCAUAGGAGGUGGUGGUGGCGGUGGGGGACCACCUCCACGCAUAGGAGGAGGAGGUGGUGGUGGCGGACCACCUCCACGCAUAGGAGGUGGUGGUGGCGGACCACCUCCACGCAUAGGAGGCGGUGGCGGCGG
rnacentral:lncRNA from 1 species